AAAGCUAUAGGUAGUAAACUGUUUCUUCUCCUAAUCCUUUUCUACAGAAAAUCUCUAAGAGACGCACUAUACUUGAUCAAUUUAGAAAGUUGAUUACUCGGUUUUUUAAGUUUGUUUGUUUAUCUGAUUUCAGUUAAUAUUCUUCCCCAUCUAAUUUCUUUCUACUUUGUGUGUGCAUGUAUGUUUGUUCAUGGCAAGUGGCAACUGCAGUGAAAUUUUGAUUCGGGUGUUUACAAAACCUUCUUCCUUGGAUGCGAGCAGUGAGGUGAGACUUAAAUUUAAGGAGGCUGACUACAUGGACAUCAAUUUGGUUCAUUGUUAAGGAUUUGACAUUCACUGAAUAACAAUUCUUAUUUGUUUAGGUGCUCUGUAAUAGUUCUUCAAGUAAGCAAUUCCUCAUGAAUUUUUCAUUUUC